rnacentral:rRNA from 1 species
AGAGUUUGAUCCUGGCUCAGGAUGAACGCUGGCGGCAUGCCUAAUACAUGCAAGUCGAACGAGAGGAAGGAAAGCUUGCUUUUCUGAAUCUAGUGGCGAACGGGUGAGUAACACGUAGGUAACCUGCCCAUGUGCCCGGGAUAACUUCUGGAAACGGAUGCUAAAACCGGAUAGGUAGCAGACAAGCAUUUGACUGCUAUUAAAGUGGCUAAGGCCAUGAACAUGGAUGGACCUGCGGUGCAUUAGCUAGUUGGUGAGGUAACGGCCCACCAAGGCGACGAUGCAUAGCCGGCCUGAGAGGGCGGACGGCCACAUUGGGACUGAGACACGGCCCAAACUCCUACGGGAGGCAGCAGUAGGGAAUUUUCGUCAAUGGGGGGAACCCUGAACGAGCAAUGCCGCGUGAGUGAAGAAGGUCUUCGGAUCGUAAAGCUCUGUUGUAAGAGAAAAACGACAUUCAUAGGGAAUGAUGAGUGAGUGAUGGUAUCUUACCAGAAAGUCACGGCUAACUACGUGCCAGCAGCCGCGGUAAUACGUAGGUGGCGAGCGUUAUCCGGAAUGAUUGGGCGUAAAGGGUGCGUAGGUGGCAGAACAAGUCUGGAGUAAAAGGUAUGGGCUCAACCCGUACUGGCUCUGGAAACUGUUCAGCUAGAGAACAGAAGAGGACGGCGGAACUCCAUGUGUAGCGGUAAAAUGCGUAGAUAUAUGGAAGAACACCGGUGGCGAAGGCGGCCGUUUGGUUUGUUGCUGACACUGAAGCCCGGAAGCGUGGGGGGCCAAAAUAGGAUUAGAUACCCUGGUAGUCCCCCCGGAAAACAAUAAUACUCGCUGUGUGCGAUAUACUGCAAGCGGCCAAGCGAAAGCGUUAAGUAUUCCACCUGGGGAGUACGCCGGCAACGGUGAAACUCAAAGGAAUUGACGGGGGCCCGCACAAGCGGAGGAACAUGUGGUUUAAUUCGAUGAUACGCGAGGAACCUUACCCGGGCUUAAAUAGCAGAUGAAUUACGGUGAAAACCGUAAGCCGCAAGGCAUCUGUGAAGGUGCUGCAUGGUUGUCGUCAGCUCGUGCCGUGAGGUGUCGGCUUAAGUGCCAUAACGAGCGCAACCCUUGUUGUCAGUUACUAACAGGUUCUGCUGAGGACUCUGACAAGACUGCCAUCGUAAGAUGUGAGGAAGGUGGGGAUGACGUCAAAUCAGCACGGCCCUUACGUCCGGGGCUACACACGUGUUACAAUGGGGGGUACAGAGGGCCGCUACCACGCGAGUGGAUGCCAAUCCCCAAAACCUCUCUCAGUUCGGACUGGAGUCUGCGACCCGACUCCACGAAGCUGGAUUCGCUAGUAAUCGCGCAUCAGCCACGGCGCGGUGAAUACGUUCCCGGGCCUUGCACACACCGCCCGUCAA